rnacentral:rRNA from 1 species
AAGGGUGGGAUGACGUACAGUCCUCAUGGCCCUUACGGCCUGGGCUACACACGUGCUACAAUGGUCGGUACAAAGGGUUGCCAAGCCGCGAGGUGGAGCUAAUCCCAUAAAACCGAUCGUAGUCCGGAUCGCAGUCUGCAACUCGACUGCGUGAAGUCGGAAUCGCUAGUAAUCGUGAAUCAGAAUGUCACGGUGAAUACGUUCCCGGGCCUU